rnacentral:rRNA from 1 species
GAGCGUUCUGUAAGCCUGUGAAGGUGUGUCGUGAGGCAUGCUGGAGGUAUCAGAAGUGCGAAUGCUGACAUAAGUAACGAUAAAGCGGGUGAAAAGCCCGCUCGCCGGAAGACCAAGGGUUCCUGUCCAACGUUAAUCGGGGCAGGGUGAGUCGACCCCUAAGGCGAGGCCGAAAGGCGUAGUCGAUGGGAAACGGGUUAAUAUUCCCGUACUUGGUGUUACUGCGAAGGGGGGACGGAGAAGGCUAUGUUGGCCGGGCGACGGUUGUCCCGGUUUAAGCGUGUAGGUGUGUGUUCCAGGUAAAUCCGGUUCACUUUAACACUGAGGCGUGACGACGAGGCACUACGGUGCUGAAGCAACAAAUGCCCUGCUUCCAGGAAAAGCCUCUAAGCAUCAGGUAACACGAAAUCGUACCCCAAACCGACACAGGUGGUCAGGUAGAGAAUACCAAGGCGCUUGAGAGAACUCGGGUGAAGGAACUAGGCAAAAUGGUGCCGUAACUUCGGGAGAAGGCACGCUGACACGUAGGUGAAGUGAUUUACUCAUGGAGCUGAAGUCAGUCGAAGAUACCAGCUGGCUGCAACUGUUUAUUAAAAACACAGCACUGUGCAAACACGAAAGUGGACGUAUACGGUGUGACGCCUGCCCGGUGCCGGAAGGUUAAUUGAUGGGGUCAGCGCAAGCGAAGCUCCUGAUCGAAGCCCCGGUAAACGGCGGCCGUAACUAUAACGGUCCUAAGGUAGCGAAAUUCCUUGUCGGGUAAGUUCCGACCUGCACGAAUGGCGUAAUGAUGGCCAGGCUGUCUCCACCCGAGACUCAGUGAAAUUGAACUCGCUGUGAAGAUGCAGUGUACCCGCGGCAAGACGGAAAGACCCCGUGAACCUUUACUAUAGCUUGACACUGAACAUUGAGCCUUGAUGUGUAGGAUAGGUGGGAGGCUUUGAAGUGUGGACGCCAGUCUGCAUGGAGCCGACCUUGAAAUACCACCCUUUAAUGUUUGAUGUUCUAACGUGGACCCGUAAUCCGGGUUGCGGACAGUGUCUGGUGGGUAGUUUGACUGGGGCGGUCUCCUCCUAAAGAGUAACGGAGGAGCACGAAGGUUGGCUAAUCCUGGUCGGACAUCAGGAGGUUAGUGCAAUGGCAUAAGCCAGCUUGACUGCGAGCGUGACGGCGCGAGCAGGUGCGAAAGCAGGUCAUAGUGAUCCGGUGGUUCUGAAUGGAAGGGCCAUCGCUCAACGGAUAAAAGGUACUCCGGGGAUAACAGGCUGAUACCGCCCAAGAGUUCAUAUCGACGGCGGUGUUUGGCACCUCGAUGUCGGCUCAUCACAUCCUGGGGCUGAAGUAGGUCCCAAGGGUAUGGCUGUUCGCCAUUUAAAGUGGUACGCGAGCUGGGUUUAGAACGUCGUGAGACAGUUCGGUCCCUAUCUGCCGUGGGCGCUGGAGAACUGAGGGGGGCUGCUCCUAGUACGAGAGGACCGGAGUGGACGCAUCACUGGUGUUCGGGUUGUCAUGCCAAUGGCACUGCCCGGUAGCUAAAUGCGGAAGAGAUAAGUGCUGAAAGCAUCUAAGCACGAAACUUGCCCCGA